rfam:Streptomyces lydicus strain 103, complete genome.
CGCACGGAGUGCUCCCACUGCGCGUCCGGCGUCACCAGCGCCGCCUCGCCGAGGGCGUCGCCGUCGGCCAGCGUCCCCAGGGACGUCUCCUCGCCGUACUUGCCGGUGCCGAUCCGGUCCAGCUUGCCGUGCGCGAUCAGGAUGACCCGGUCCGUGGGGCCGCCCGCCCGCGCCAGUACGUCACCGGGCGCGAACUCCCGUUGGACGAAGCGGCCGGCCAGGUUCUCCAGCGUCGCGGCGUCGUCGUAGCCGCGCAGCGGGGCCAGCUCGCGCAACUCGGCCGGGAUCACCCGGACUUCGGUGCCCGUGGAGACGAAUUCCACCCGGCCGUCGCCGAGGGUGUGCGUGAGCCGGCGGUUGACGCGGAAGGUACCGCCGGAGACCUGCGUCCAGGGCAGGAUGCGCAGCAGCCAGCGGGAGGAGAUCCCCUGCAUCUGCGGCACGGUCUUGGUCGUGGUCGCCAGCUUGCGGGCGGCCGCGGUGUCCAGGCUGGAACGCUGCUG